ACCCCAAAUCGUUUGCCGCCACCCCUACCCCCCAAAUUGUCUUCUGCCACCAUUCCCUACCCCACCCUUAAAUCGUUUGCCACUACCUCACCUUCCUCUACUCCCACCCACCAGUCAAACCCAUAGUCGUCGCACCACCAUCAACACCAGUGAAACCCCAAAUCGGCACACACAGCCGUCGACGACCCAUGAUGGCUGCUGCCGCUUCCUCCUCCGACGAACUAGCGCUGGCAGCCACACCGAACCAGUCGCCGCUCCACCAGCAACGAACAACUGACAAGACAUCCGUUGAAAAAAGAAAUCAGUGCUUUCUU
rnacentral:lncRNA from 1 species